rnacentral:rRNA from 1 species
GACAGAGGGUGCAAACGUUGUUCGGAUUUACUGGGCGUAAAGCGCGUGUAGGCGGCUUGGCAAGUCGGAUGUGAAAGCCCACGGCUCAACCGUGGAAGCGCAUCCGAAACGGCCUCGCUCGAGUCUCGGAGAGGAAGGUGGAAUGCUUGGUGUAGAGGUGAAAUUCGUAGAUAUCAGGAGGAACACCGGUGGCGAAGGCGACUUCCUGGACACCAACUGACGCUGAGACGCGAAAGCGUGGGGAGCAAACAGG